rnacentral:rRNA from 1 species
UACGGAGGGGGCUAGCGUUGUUCGGAAUUACUGGGCGUAAAGCGCGCGUAGGCGGCUUUGUAAGUUAGAGGUGAAAGCCCAGAGCUUAACUCUGGAAUUGCCUUUAAGACUGCAUCGCUAGAAUCGUGGAGAGGUAAGUGGAAUUCCGAGUGUAGAGGUGAAAUUCGUAGAUAUUCGGAAGAAACACCAGUGGCGAAGGCGACUUACUGGACACGUAUUGACGCUGAGGUGCGAAAAGCGUGGGGAGCAAACAGG